CCUACGGGAGGCAGCAGUGGGGAAUAUUGGACAAUGGGCGAAAGCCUGAUCCAGCAACGCCGCGUGAAGGAAGAAGGCCUUCGGGUCGUAAACUUCUGUCCUUGGGGAAGUAGACCUGACGGUACCCAAGGAGGAAGCCCCGGCUAACUACUUGCCAGCAGCCGCGGUAAUACGUAGGGUGCCAGCGUUAUCCGGAAUCAUUGGGAGUAAAGGGUACGUAGGUGGCAACCAAGGCGCAGGGUGUAAUGCAAUGGAUCAACCAUUGUUCGUCCUGCGAACUGGGAUGCUUGAGUGCAGGAGAGGCAAGCGGAAUUCCUGGUGUAGCGGUGAAAUGCGUAGAUAUCACGAAGAACACCGGUGGCGAAGGCAGCUUUCUGGACUGUAACUGACGCUGAGGUACGAAAGCGUGGGGAUCAAACAGGAUUAGAUACCCUUGUAGUC
rnacentral:rRNA from 1 species